AUUGAACGCUGGCGGCAGGCUUAACACAUGCAAGUCGAGCGGAGAUGAGGUGCUUGCACCUUAUCUUAGCGGCGGACGGGUGAGUAAUGCUUAGGAAUCUGCCUAUUAGUGGGGGACAACAUUCCGAAAGGAAUGCUAAUACCGCAUACGUCCUACGGGAGAAAGCAGGGGAUCUUCGAACCUUGCGCUAAUAGAUGAGCCUAAGUCGGAUUAGCUAGUUGGUGGGGUAAAGGCCUACCAAGGCGACGAUCUGUAGCGGGUCUGAGAGGAUGAUCCGCCACACUGGGACUGAGACACGGCCCAGACUCCUACGGGAGGCAGCAGUGGGGAAUACUGGACAAUGGGGGGAACCCUGAUCCAGCCAUGCCGCGUGUGUGAAGAAGGCCUUAUGGUUGUAAAGCACUUUAAGCGAGGAGGAGGCUACUGAGACUAAUACUCUUGGAUAGUGGACGUUACUCGCAGAAUAAGCACCGGCUAACUCUGUGCCAGCCGCCGCCGUAAUAC
rnacentral:rRNA from 1 species